AUUGAACGCUGGCGGCAGGCCUAACACAUGCCAGUCGAGCGGAUGAAGGGAGCUUGCUCCUGGAUUCAGCGGCGGACGGGUGAGUAAUGCCUAGGAAUCUGCCUGGUAGUGGGGGAUAACGUCCGGAAACGGGCGCUAAUACCGCAUACGUCCUGAGGGAGAAAGUGGGGGAUCUUCGGACCUCACGCUAUCAGAUGAGCCUAGGUCGGAUUAGCUAGUUGGUGGGGUAAAGGCCUGCCAAGGCGACGAUCCGUAACUGGUCUGAGAGGAUGAUCAGUCACACUGGAACUGAGACACGGUCCAGACUCCUACGGGAGGCAGCAGUGGGGAAUAUUGGACAAUGGGCGAAAGCCUGAUCCAGCCAUGCCGCGUGUGUGAAGAAGGUCUUCGGAUUGUAAAGCACUUUAAGUUGGGAGGAAGGGCAGUAAGUUAAUACCUUGCUGUUUUGACGUUACCAACAGAAUAAGCACCGGCUAACUUCGUG
rnacentral:rRNA from 1 species